rnacentral:rRNA from 1 species
GUCCAGACUCCUACGGGAGGCAGCAGUGGGGAAUAUUGCACAAUGGGGGAAACCCUGAUGCAGCGACGCCGCGUGAGCGAUGAAGUAUUUCGGUAUGUAAAGCUCUAUCAGCAGGGAAGAAGAUGACGGUACCUGACUAAGAAGCCCCGGCUAACUACGUGCCAGCAGCCGCGGUAAUACGUAGGGGGCAAGCGUUAUCCGGAUUUACUGGGUGUAAAGGGAGCGUAGACGGCGAUGCAAGCCAGAUGUGAAAGCCCGGGGCUCAACCCUGGGACUGCUUUUGAAACUGCCGGGCUGGAGUGCAGGAGAGGUAAGCGGAAUUCCUAGUGUAGCGGUGAAAUGCGUAGAUAUUAGGAGGAACACCAGUGGCGAAGGCGGCUUGCUGGACAGUAACUGACGUUGAGGCUCGAAAGCGUGGGGAGCAAACAGGAUUAGAUCCCCUUGUA